CAGCCGCCACGGGAAUACGGAGGGUGCAAGCGUUAAUCGGAAUUACUGGGCGUAAAGCGCACGCAGGCGGUUUGUUAAGUCAGAUGUGAAAUCCCCGAGCUUAACUUGGGAACUGCAUUUGAAACUGGCAAGCUAGAGUCUUGUAGAGGGGGGUAGAAUUCCAGGUGUAGCGGUGAAAUGCGUAGAGAUCUGGAGGAAUACCGGUGGCGAAGGCGGCCCCCUGGACAAAGACUGACGCUCAGGUGCGAAAGCGUGGGGAGCAAACAGGAUUAGAUACCCCUGUAGUCCCUGUCUCUUAUAA
rnacentral:rRNA from 1 species